CCCCAGUGCGGGGUUCUAUACAUGCAAGUCGAGCGGACAGAUGGGAGCUUGCUCCCUGAUGUUAGCGGCGGACGGGUGAGUAACACGUGGGUAACCUGCCUGUAAGACUGGGAUAACUCCGGGAAACCGGGGCUAAUACCGGAUGGUUGUUUGAACCGCAUGGUUCAAACAUAAAAGGUGGCUUCGGCUACCACUUACAGAUGGACCCGCGGCGCAUUAGCUAGUUGGUGAGGUAACGGCUCACCAAGGCAACGAUGCGUAGCCGACCUGAGAGGGUGAUCGGCCACACUGGGACUGAGACACGGCCCAGACUCCUACGGGAGGCAGCAGUAGGGAAUCUUCCGCAAUGGACGAAAGUCUGACGGAGCAACGCCGCGUGAGUGAUGAAGGUUUUCGGAUCGUAAAGCUCUGUUGUUAGGGAAGAACAAGUACCGUUCGAAUAGGGCGGUACCUUGACGGUACCUAACCAGAAAGCCACGGCUAACUACGUGCCAGCAGCCGCGGUAAUACGUAGGUGGCAAGCGUUGUCCGGAAUUAUUGGGCGUAAAGGGCUCGCAGGCGGUUUCUUAAGUCUGAUGUGAAAGCCCCCGGCUCAACCGGGGAGGGUCAUUGGAAACUGGGGAACUUGAGUGCAGAAGAGGAGAGUGGAAUUCCACGUGUAGCGGUGAAAUGCGUAUAGAUGUGGAGGAAACACCAGUGACGAAGGCGACUCUCUGGUCUGUAACUGACACUGAGGAGCGAAAGCGUGAGGAGCGAAAAUGAAUAAAUAACCUGGUAGUCCACGCCCUAAACCCAUGAAAGUU
rnacentral:rRNA from 1 species